GACGGAGGGUGCUAGCGUUGUUCGGAAUUACUGGGCGUAAAGGGCGCGUAGGCGGCCUUCUCAGUCGGGUGUGAAAGCCCGGGGCUCAACCCCGGAACGGCACCCGAGACGGGUUGGCUGGAGACCGGGAGAGGAGGGUGGAAUAGCCAGUGUAGAGGUGAAAUUCGUAGAUAUUGGCUGGAACACCGGUGGCGAAAGCGGCUCUCUGGCCCGGUUCUGGACGCUGAGGCGCGAAAGCGUGGGGAGCAAACAGG
rnacentral:rRNA from 1 species